UACGUAGGGGGCAAGCGUUGUCCGGAUUUAUUGGGCGUAAAGAGCGUGUAGGCGGCCAGGUAGGUCCGUUGUGAAAACUGGAGGCUCAACCUCCAGCCUGCAGUGGGUACGGGCAGACUAGAGUGCGGUAGGGGAGAUUGGAAUUCCUGGUGUAGCGGUGGAAUGCGCAGAUAUCAGGAGGAACACCGAUGGCGAAGGCAGAUCUCUGGGCCGUAACUGACGCUGAGGAGCGAAAGCAUGGGGAGCGAACAGG
rnacentral:rRNA from 1 species